GACUCAGGAGGGAAAUCAUUAGCCAACUGUUGACUUACUUAUAGCUAGAUGUCUAUGUGAGAAAGUAUAAUAUAUAUAUAUACACAUAUAUAUGACAUGUAAGAGUCACUUUUAUUUAUCUGUCUUUGUUCACUUAUGAAGCCGGUAACUGCAGCAGUAUGUUGGUGAUGUCAUGAUGCACAGAAGUCCCAUGUGGAGUGUUUUUCCCACACUGACAACUUGGCUUCCUUUCUGUGUGUUCAGUCUGUUGUCUGAACUAACACUCCCGCGAGCACUAUACUCUUUAUACUCUGAUCCCCCUAGUUCAUCUUAAAUUUGUCCGUGGCCCUGGCAAGAUAGCGUACACAAGAUUCCAUGACUCCAGAGCAUCUUGAAGAAACAUACAUAUUUUGAAAGAGGGGAAAUGUAGCAGAUAGUUCACAAGCUGCGGGUUGUAGCUAAAUAUUCCAUUUCUUUGAAAUCAUGUUUCUAAAUUCUUUACCAUCAGAAAGAAAAGGAGUGUCAUACACUUUCAAGGGAAGGCUUGGUCUGCGUUUUCUGUGUUUGGAUUAUUUUUAUACUUUGCUGAUCUUUAAGCUAUCCAUGGGGGAAAUUUUAUACCAACGAGUUAAUAAUUCUCAUUCAUCGUUUACACAAUGUAACAUGUGUCAUACUGGGGCCAGCGAGAUGGCUCAGUAGGUAAAGGUGCUUGAUGCUAAGCCCGGCAGCCUGUGUUUCAUCUACAGGAUGCACAACAUAAAAGAAAAGAUCUGAUUCCCGCAGGUUCUCUUCUGACCUACACACACACACACUAAAAUAACAUUUAAAAAUAUGUGCCAAAUUAUAUUUGUUCGGGUGCCACCUUCCACCAGCUUACCACUACGGUAGAACUGUCAAAUUCAUCUCCCUGAAUUUGUCUUAAAGGGGUGUCCAUGCACAGGCCCAAGAGUCACCUCCAAUGAAAUAAAUGUAAUACUGAAGUAUGCCAUGAUGUUUGUUGUUUUCUUUCAUCGUAAGCCUGUAAGCAGGAAAAAUACGUCAAAUCAGAUAGAAUAGAGCAUUUACCAGUGGUCGAUGGCCUGGUCAGUCCUGUGCCGGGUGACUUAGGACCAGGCACGUCAGCUCUCUGAGCCUCCCCUUCCCUUGUUGUCACAAGGGAAUAGAAGCAGAAGAAGCUGAGAGCCUCCCUAUUCCCAGAUGCCCUGGUGGAAUGACCUGCCUCUCUGCCGUUUCUGCCAACGUGUUGGUGCUAUAAGCUGCUUCAAAUACCAGUUUGUCUGUAGUGUGUACUCACCUAAUCACUUGUUAUCCAGUGCCUGUUCUAGGUUUAUGGACUUAACUAUUUCUGUGAUGUUUCAUUUUUAGCCAUGUUAACUCCUAACACAUAUUCUCUUAUGUCUCAGUAAAGUUUCAUUUGAUAAGUUGUUGAGAUUCUGUUAUUUGAUAAUAUUCUUCGGCUGUCCAUCCAGCAUCUUAAUCACUUUAAAACUGUGAUUGUUAUUUGCAACUCUGUUCUUUGGAAAGAAUAAAAGCAUUUUUUUUCACUUGCUAACAUGCUCACAAAUGUGAGAGAAGAGUCAUUAAAAGCUUUACUUACUGGGUCAGUGCGUCAUUGACUCCUUUCUGUGUUUUGCCCAAUAAAUUAAUAAAAGACU
rnacentral:lncRNA from 1 species